rnacentral:rRNA from 1 species
GAUGAACGCUAGCGACAGGCCUAACACAUGCAAGUCGAGGGGUAACAGAAAGGAGCUUGCUUCUUUGCUGACGACCGGCGCACGGGUGAGUAACGCGUAUGCAACCUACCUCUUACAGGGGAAUAGCCCGAAGAAAUUCGGAUUAAUGCCCCAUGGUUCUGAUUGAUCGCAUGGUUAAUUAGAUAAAGUUCCGGCGGUAAGAGAUGGGCAUGCGUUCCAUUAGUUAGUUGGUAGAGUAACGGCCUACCAAGGCAUCGAUGGAUAGGGGUUCUGAGAGGAUAGUCCCCCACACUGGUACUGAGACACGGACCAG